rnacentral:rRNA from 1 species
AACGAACGCUGGCGGCAUGCCUAACACAUGCAAGUCGAACGAGACCUUCGGGUCUAGUGGCGCACGGGUGCGUAACGCGUGGGAACCUGCCCUUAGGUUCGGAAUAACUCCCCGAAAGGGGUGCUAAUACCGGAUAAUGUCUUCGGGCCAAAGAUUUAUCGCCUUUGGAUGGGCCCGCGUUGGAUUAGCUAGUUGGUAGGGUAAAAGCCUACCAAGGCGACGAUCCAUAGCUGGUCUGAGAGGAUGAUCAGCCACACUGGGACUGAGACACGGCCCAGACUCCUACGGGAGGCAGCAGUGGGGAAUAUUGGACAAUGGGCGAAAGCCUGAUCCAGCAAUGCCGCGUGAGUGAUGAAGGCCUUAGGGUUGUAAAGCUCCUUUACCCGGGAUGAUAAUGACAGUACCGGGAGAAUAAGCUCCGGCUAACUCCGUG